rnacentral:lncRNA from 1 species
CCUGAGACACACGACUGCAUAUAAAUACAUGUUUAAUAAAUUUUGGCCAGAAAUGGUGAGAAGAAAAAGCAUGAAGAAGCCGCGAAGUGUGGGGGAGAAAAAGGUGGAAGCGAAGAAACAGCUCCCGGAGCAAACUGUACAAAAACCUCGCCAAGAGUGUCGGGAGGCAGGACCGUUAUUCCUGCAGAGCAGGAGAGAGACGAGAGACCCUGAAACACGCGCCACCUAUCUUUGUGGGGAGGGAUAAUUGAAGCGCCCUGAGCGUACCAGAGCCAGAAAAAAAAAUGCUGCAUGGGAGCUGCAUCUUAGGGCAUGUGUAUUAGGGUGUGUGCAUGAUGAAUUUCUGGACUGGAUCCCAAUAUUAAAAAGUAGUUUGGCAUUUUAAUAAAGGGUCUCUAAGUAAAUUAAAAUAGAACACUCGGUUGGCCGAUCUCUGAAUCUCUCUACACCUCGGGGAGACCUCACUACAAAGUAAGGGAGAGUGUGUAGGGAGGCAGGAGGAGAAACGAGAAAGGCCAUAGAGAAACUUAGCAGGGAAGGGAGAGCAUGAUAUUAAACGGCAUGGGGUCUAAGUUUUGGAGUAUAUAUUUUUUGAUAUUACAAUUAAAGUAAGAUUAAAAAGAAAAGACUCCACCUUUGCUCUGAAGGGAUUGGUUAUGCAAAUAUGGAAGGGAUUUCCUGGAGAAUACAGCUUUCUACUGUAUGGUUAAUUAAAUAAUCACUCAAAAGCUUCCAACGUGACGCUUCUGUCGUAAUCCAAUCAGGUUACAUAGGUCCUAAACAAGAAAGAUAUUUUCCACAUCUGGAAGUCAGCAAUUUAGCAAGUACUGCACAUUAUUAACCAAUUCAGAGCCCACUUCCCAGGGGAAUUUUUUUGAAGUUUAAGUGUUCUUAACCAAUGCUCUGCUGUUUUGUUAAUCAAAAAGCUGGUUUACACUGCACAUAAUUGGAACUAAUAUAGAAGUAAAUAAAGACAGCCAAAUUUGAGGAUGCUGAGCACAGGCAUUUAUCGGAAAAGGAAGAAAUCUCCUAUCCUCGGAUGGUUCAGGCUCAAUUUCUUAAAUAACUGUGAGACUUUUUUUUUUUUCCUAAAGAGUGAAAGUGCUUGAGAACCUCAGAGCACAAAUAAACUUCUAGCCUCACAGCAUUUAGGAUUCUUCGGAAAGGUAAAGGUGGAGGUGUUAAGAGGACCAGAGAGCUGCCUCACACCAAUUUUUAAGCUUUAAUAUUGUUAAAUAUGUUACACCCUCCUGUUUCCAGUCUGAUGAAAUCUGAAACAAAUAAUACCCUGAUCCAACACUAUAUUAAGAUAAACUGCUUUGAACUGUGCUUUGAAUGUGUGCCUAAAGCAAGACUUUGAAUGCAAGAGUCACUGGCAAUUGCACUCAAAGGAGGGACAAGCCACCACAUGGGUUGCCACAUCCACACUCCCAGAGAAAGCUUCACAUGUGAGAUAAAUGCACUCAAAGAUUCCUCACAAGUAGCUCUUUGGAGCUUCAGAUGUGAAAUGGAUCAUUCCUCAAUCUGUAAUAGACCCUUCUGUGAAGCUCUUCAAUCAAACCAGAGAAUUCAAGAGUUUCCAACACCUAAGAGUGGUAUUUGGCAAAUGGUGGGCCAAAGGAAUAAAGAAGGCAUGCAAAACUCUUGACAGAAGACAUUCAGAAAUUGAUUUGAUAUCAGAUACAAGGAGAAAAUAUGCCAGUAAGAAAAUGCAUUUUUCAAGAUUAAAUUCGGCAUUUGUUACUUAAUAGCAUUUGUCAUAUUCCAAUUUUUCAUAUGUAGUAAAUUCAUUUCAAAUCAUUUCGCUCUUCCAAGUGCCUUUGUGUAUUGUAUUUCUUUUUUCACAUCCUUUUGGAUAACAUUUGAGA